rnacentral:rRNA from 1 species
GACGAACCGAGCGAACGUUGUUCGGAAUCACUGGGCUUAAAGGGCGCGUAGGCGGGCUGCCGCGUCCGGGGUGAAAUCCCACGGCUCAACCGUGGAACUGCCCCGGAUACGGGCGGCCUCGAGGGGGGUAGGGGCAUCUGGAACUGUGAGUGGAGCGGUGAAAUGCGUUGAUAUUCACAGGAACUCCGGUGGCGAAGGCGAGGUGCUGGACCCCUCCUGACGCUGAGGCGCGAAAGCCAGGGGAGCAAACAGG